rnacentral:rRNA from 1 species
AUGGACUCAGGAUGAACGCUGGCGGCGAUGCCUAACACAUGCAAGUCGAACGGAGUUGAGGAGUAGCUUGACUAUGAAUCAACGUUAGUGGCGGACGGGUGAGUAACGCGUGAGUAACCUGCCUCUUAGAGGGGGAUAACGUUCUGAAAAGGACGCUAAUACCGCAUAUAAUUACGAAAUCGCAGUGGUUUUGUAAUGAAAGGAGCAAUCCGCUAAGAGAUGGACUCGCGUCUGAUUAGCUAGAUGGUGGGGUAACGGCUCACCCAUGGCGACGAUCAGUAGCCGGACUGAGAGGUUGAACGGCCACAUUGGGACUGAGACACGGCCCAGACUCCUACGGGAGGCAGCAGUGGGGGAUAUUACGCAAUGGGGGAAACCCUGAACCGUAGCAAUGCCGCGUGAAGGAUGAAGGUUUUCGGAUUGUAAACUUCUUUUGUCAGGGACGAUAAUGACGGUACCUGACGAAUAAGCUCCGGCUAACUAUGUGCCAGCAGCCGC